AUUGAACGCUGGCGGCAUGCCUUACACAUGCAAGUCGAACGGUAACGGGCCUUCGGGUGCCGCCGAGUGGCGCACGGGUGAGUAAUACAUCGGAACGUGCCCGAUCGUGGGGGAUAACGAGGCGAAAGCUUUGCUAAUACCGCAUACGAUCUACGGAUGAAAGCAGGGGACCGCAAGGCCUUGCGCGGACGGAGCGGCCGAUGGCAGAUUAGGUAGUUGGUGGGAUAAAAGCUUACCAAGCCGACGAUCUGUAGCUGGUCUGAGAGGAUGAUCAGCCACACUGGGACUGAGACACGGCCCAGACUCCUACGGGAGGCAGCAGUGGGGAAUUUUGGACAAUGGGCGCAAGCCUGAUCCAGCCAUGCCGCGUGCAGGAUGAAGGCCUUCGGGUUGUAAACUGCUUUUGUACGGAACGAAAAGCCUUCUUUUAAUACAGGAGGGUCAUGACGGUACCGGAAGAAUAAGCACCGGCUAACUACGUG
rnacentral:rRNA from 1 species